rnacentral:rRNA from 1 species
GUGGACGCCAGUCUGCAUGGAGCCGACCUUGAAAUACCACCCUUUAAUGUUUGAUGUUCUAACGUGGACCCGUAAUCCGGGUUGCGGACAGUGUCUGGUGGGUAGUUUGACUGGGGCGGUCUCCUCCUAAAGAGUAACGGAGGAGCACGAAGGUUGGCUAAUCCUGGUCGGACAUCAGGAGGUUAGUGCAAUGGCAUAAGCCAGCUUGACUGCGAGCGUGACGGCGCGAGCAGGUGCGAAAGCAGGUCAUAGUGAUCCGGUGGUUCUGAAUGGAAGGGCCAUCGCUCAACGGAUAAAAGGUACUCCGGGGAUAACAGGCUGAUACCGCCCAAGAGUUCAUAUCGACGGCGGUGUUUGGCACCUCGAUGUCGGCUCAUCACAUCCUGGGGCUGAAGUAGGUCCCAAGGGUAUGGCUGUUCGCCAUUUAAAGUGGUACGCGAGCUGGGUUUAGAACGUCGUGAGACAGUUCGGUCCCUAUCUGCCGUGGGCGCUGGAGAACUGAGGGGGGCUGCUCCUAGUACGAGAGGACCGGAGUGGACGCAUCACUGGUGUUCGGGUUGUCAUGCCAAUGGCACUGCCCGGUAGCUAAAUGCGGAAGAGAUAAGUGCUGAAAGCAUCUAAGCACGAAACUUGCCCCGAGAUGAGUUCUCCCUGAGACUUUAG